AUUGAACGCUGGCGGCAGGCCUAAAACAUGCAAGUCGAACGAGUGGCGGACGGGUGAGUAAUGUCUGGGAGACUGCCCGAUGGAGGGGGAUACCUACUGGAAACGGUAGCUAAUACCGCAUACCAUCGGAUGUGCCCAGAUGGGCUUAGCUAGUAGGUGGGGUAAAGGCUCACCUAGGCGACGAUCCCUAGCUGGUCUGAGAGGAUGACCAGCCACACCGGACCUGAGACACGGUCCAGACUCCUACGGGAGGCAGCAGUGGGGAACACCCCACAAUGGGCGCAAGUCUGAUGCACCCCCGCUGCGUGUAUGAAGAAGGCCUGCGGGUUGUAAAGUAAUUUCAGCGAGGAGGCGUUACUCGCAGAACAAGCACCGGCUUACUCCGUGCCAGCAGCCGCGGUAAUUC
rnacentral:rRNA from 1 species